GUCGUAUCCUCCGAUCGUAGCUGAUCGUAACCAUUCAAGUUAACGUGUCAAUUUACACCGACUUCUUUCCGUUCCUCUGCGGAUCGCCGGACUCCUCAGCUGAUCACAAGAGUUCUAUUUUUUCUGGACGCCGGAGCGUGGCGGAUAAAUUCAGCACAGAUUAACCCGUGCUGGAAAGGAAGUCGGGCACAGACACAAAAUAAAACAUCCGGCUUCUUUUCAAAAUAAAACACAUCAGACGUCAUUUCACCCCGAUGACACCAUGGAUGAGGAGAUGCUGAUUCUAGAAGUCUAGAAGUAGAUUUCCUCCUCUGGAAGGACACAAUCUACUGCUUAUAUGUCUAUGUGUCUGUCUUUAGAGAGACAACUCGUUAUCGUGCGAUUGAACAUGAAUCCGCAGGCUGUCCGUAAUCUUAAAAUUCACCUCACCAACAGAUCCAGUCGGAAUUUGCAAAAGACGAAAAAUCGCCGCUGUUUCAGAUCGGAGCCAUUACACAUGCGAUGAAAAUUGGGGGUAAAACUUCGACACUGAAUCAAGGAAUGAAAACAAAACUGAGAUUUUUUUUUUAAAGAAAGUUGAUAAAAUAAAGUUGUUUUUAUUAGAUUUAAAUCACUGAAUUAUUAGAGCAGGGCUGGGAUUUUACCAAAAAAGUGAAGUUACAAUAGAUAAAAUUAUGAAUUAAGCCGUUAAUUUAAUUGUAUUUUUAAAAAUGUGAAGUUCAUUUUAGUAAAUUUGUAGCUUGUAACUCCCGGUGCUGUGAUUUGAGAUGUUUUUUACUGAAGUGUGACGGUUAUGUCUCCAACUUUGAUUGACAAACAGACUUCAGGAUUUGGUGUAUCCCAAAAAUCAACUUUAUAACUCAGAAGAAUGAGUUGUCUCUUGGCUCUGUGUACCCCGAACUUUCUCAGACAUCCAGUUUGAUCAUGCGAACAGUGUAGCUUCAUAUUUUAAAGAGGCGGUACUCGUGGAUUUUAAGGCGUAAGACUCCUUAAAGACGAAAACUUGAGCUCAGACAGAGGAGAGGUUUCUGAGGAGGAUCCAUGAACCUGCUCGAUGGUAUCUUGACUUCUUUCACUCUCACGUUGUCCUCGUCUCGUCAGAUCCCCCGCCGGCUCAGCUCCGGCCCACAGUCCUCAUGAACACACUCUCACACCGUCUGCUCACCGGCUGCUAUCAUCCGCUGGCAUGAACACACACCAGCUCGAGCCCCCCGGGGGGGUUUGAGGGGCCGUGGGUGGGAGGGCAGGUCUGUACGCUGGGCUGUCUGUCUCAGACUCCAUCCCGUCAAUUCAAGGACUCCUCCAUCAAGUGUCUGUCACUAUCGCUCCCUGUCUGUCUCUGCAGAUAGCUAACAGAUGUCCGAGUCCGACCCGCUGAGUGACACGCCGAAGGUGGGUGGGAUUAUGUGGCGUGUAACAGGAUUACAAGAGAAAUGCUAGCUGCUGCUGUGAGGAUCCUGCCGUUUGUAGCGUCGUGGUUCGGCUCUCCAGAUUUUCCAGGAUAUAUGUGACAACAAAUCCAAAUCAUUAGCAGAGCAGCAGCUCUCUGCGGCGUGUGUUUUAAGCUCCAUUAAUACUCUAAUGACUCUUUUUUUUAAUGGAACAACUUUCCUAAUUGUUUGGAGCAGCUUGUACAUAAAACAAAGCAGCAUACAAACAUAAUUAAAAAAGGCUGAAAUAAGGAAUAGAAGCUAAAAUUAACUCUGACAAAUGCUUAUUAAUUAAUGAAAUUGGUUCGACAAUAAGAGAAACAUGGACUGAGUUAAAGGCGGACAUUUUUCUCUGAUCCACACCAGGAAUAUUCAAGAAAUCUGUCUGUGUUUACCACGACUAUAGGACAUGAUUUCUGAAUAGUCAUAUAUGCAAUUAACUGACAUUUACAUUUACAUGACAGUGCGAUCAGGGAAGACCCACACACACACACACACACACACACACACACUCCUCCUGCAGAGUAAACUUAUCAAAACUUCAUCCAAUCAACACCAUCAUUCAUCAUUAAUCAUCAAUUCUGCACCUUAGACCAGUCUGGAGUACAGAUUAUAUAAACAUUGAGCAUCAACGUGAACAAGAAUCUGUACCGUGCCGAAAUCCGCCCCUUUAACCAGGACCAAGGACACGCUGGAAAACGUUCCCACUGGUCGAACUAAGUGGACUUUCAGGGUCUUUGGAGGUACCAGGGGACAGUACAGAUCGCCUCAUGUGAGCGCCCUACCUAGUUCAGGAUCGGCUUAACCAAACCAACAAAUCAUAGUACCUCAGUCUCACCCGCGCUCACCUCGUUUGGUGUCACUCCAUUGUUACUCCAUUGACGUCAUUUCACCCCGAUGACACCAUGGAUGAGGAGAUGCUGAUUCUAGAAGUCUAGAAGUAGAUUUCCUCCUCUGGAAGGACACAAUCUACUGCUUAUAUGGUUAGCCUCUGUGGCUAAAGACAACUUGUUUUUACGCGAUUGA